UUCAUUUGCUCCAUAUAAUUCUGCUUCACCUUUGCUUGCAGAUCUUUCUACUGGAAGUCAGCAGAAUGCCUCUGUCUGGAGAAAUGUGUGUUGACCAAAGGGAAAGAUUGGCUCAAGUGAGAACCGUGAUGGCUACCAGCAUCAGCUCCCUAGAUACUCUCAAAGCAAGGCCAGGCCCUAUUCAGGAAGCAGACGCAUUUUUCCUCAACUCUCCUAUUCAGGCAUUAACAGUGUGUAAAUGCAAUGUAAGCGCAACCUACAACAGCACGAAGUUAGCAGAAGGAAAAUGGACUCAGGAGCCUAGCAAAAGAAGGGAGCCUACAAAAAAAAGCAAACAAGGGAAAAAUAAAAGGUCUUCAUGCCUUUAUCAUGACUGCCUGAAAUUCCUCAUCACCCACUGCUAUCAAAGAUAACCUCUCCUCAACACUGUGGCAGGAUCCCAUCAGUUUUCAGGUUGGUUCCUCCAGUUUGGGGAUGGAAAAGGGGGAGAAAAUAAAGAAUGUCUCCUAACCUUCCUAAAUUGUAAAGACUCUAGACAGCAGAGGGGAAGAAACAUUGUCAACUCUUCCCAUACUCUGGAGCUCCAACGGUCACUGUGUCCUGCUGGUUCAUUUCCUUGGUGUGAAGCCACAGCUGGGCCUUCAGUUACUCUCUUUUCACCAUUCAGUCUUCCUUCAUUUUCUCUCACUCUUGGGAUCAGGUGUGUGUGUGUUCACCUCCGUGAAAAAGAGUUGUGGCUCCUGAAGGAGACCUUCGUCAUCAAGGUCAGAGGCGACAAGAAUGGAUACAACUUUCAGUGUGUCCUUGCGGAGGUCCAGUGUGCUCACCACCUUCCCUUCUCGAGCGCCUGCCCACACUCUUCAGGCUCCAGCAUUUGACAGAGACAUUUUCACAGAGACAGUUCAGCCAGCCCCUGCAGCUGUAUAAACCAAUUCUGCCUCUCAUGUAAAUCCAUGGGUGUGUGUGUGUGUGUGUGUGUAUAGCCUAUUGCAUCUACUUCUCUGGUUGAACCCUAAUCAUACAAAAUUUGGAUGUGGGGUCAAGAG
rnacentral:lncRNA from 1 species